CAGUAGCCGCGGUAACACAGAUGGUGCGAGCGUUAAUCGGAUUUACUGGGCGUAAAGCGUGCGUAGGCGGCUUCUUAAGUCGGAUGUGAAAUCCCUGAGCUUAACUUAGGAAUUGCAUUCGAUACUGGGAAGCUAGAGUAUGGGAGAGGAUGGUAGAAUUCCAGGUGUAGCGGUGAAAUGCGUAGAGAUCUGGAGGAAUACCGAUGGCGAAGGCAGCCAUCUGGCCUAAUACUGACGCUGAGGUACGAAAGCAUGGGGAGCAAACAGGAUUAGAUACCCCGGUAGUCCCUGUCUCUUAUAC
rnacentral:rRNA from 1 species